rnacentral:lncRNA from 1 species
CAGUGCCCACUUUGUUCAUCUCUGCUCACUGGGGGAGCCAGGACACGGAUCCAGGUUUUCUGACUCCAGGUCUCAGGCUUGCUCCAUAGCGCCACCUGCUGGUGACGGCAAUCGGUAGGCACCCAAAUCAAGACUCAGAUUUCCUCAUCUCAGAAGUUGUCCACUUCUUCUCCGACCUCCACGGUAACUCGGAACCACACCGUGGAGUUAUCCCUGUGUCCUCUUUCUCGGAAGUUCCACAUCCAACCCCUCAGCAGGUCUCAGCGGCACUCUCACCACCUCCUCUGCUCUGUUCCUGUUUCUCUUGGAUGGUCGAAUGUUUCCUAAGGAGUGUCUGCUGCUUCACGCUUGCCCCCUGGAGUGGCAUCUAAAAGGAUACCCUACAACUAACAGGCAUGAUGCCAUCAAGACAUCUUGAGCCUGGCUACCUCCCGUGGCCUGUAUUUUGUCCACAGGAAACUCGCGCAGUCUCACUACAGCAAAUUGAGGUGGUAUGGGGUGCCUGCUGCUGCCUCUCUCUUCACCUUUCCACAGAGGGCUGCCCCAGCCUGACUCCCACUUCCAGAGUUUCUCCAGCCAGGAGAAUCCUGAAAUCUCUGUAAAUAAGCAAUCCAGGAGCCAGAGAAUCAUGGGAUCUCAUAUAAACAAAUCAUCAAGGAAAAACACAGCCAGAGUCUCCAUUUGGUAAACCUCCGUGACUGGGGAUCCCCGGCCACCCAGAAAGCAGUAUUGCCUGCCAUGCAUGUCAUCACUGAUUUUUACUGCUGCAGCAGACUCCGUCAGACCUGCCUGCUGCUUCAGCGA